CCUGCCUUUCCUUGGUUCAUACUUAAUUUGUAUUUUCUGUCUUCCUCUGCCCUCUUUCCCAUUUUAGCAGGUUUUAAGGACAUUUCUGCUACUGCUGCCUGUCUCACAACUUUUCUGUGUACUUACCGUCCCAUGACUGUGACAGGAAUCACGAUCUCAGUACACGAUGGAAGGCUGGCUUUGAAGAUAACUCCUUCUCUGCUCUCAAGUUAUUGACUUUUCUCUCAGCUCAGGUUUCUCUCCUAUUACUGUUACCACCUUUUUCCCACAGAAGGGCGUAUUCAGAUUCCUAAAGAAGGCUUUGAAAGGGAUCCAAAGAGGCAAUCACAUGCAUGUGCAACUAUUUUUUCACCAGGCAAGAAUAUAUGGAAUGUGAAUGGAGGUUCAGCAUAGCUCUGCGAAUAGCUAAUAGAAGAGCAGAGAACUGAGACACCAGCUCUCAUCUUGGCUGUAUUACAAAUCAGUUACAAGUGCAACCUGCAACUCAAAACCACACAGCUGAUUUAAAAUUAUGCAAGCAAGCAGUUCAGCUAAUUGUAUAAUGAUACCUAAAUUACUGAGAUCACCCUGCCUGGAAAGGUCCUCUGUCCUGACUAGGAGGAAACAACUGUUAACUGCACAGAACAAAACAACUCUUCCAUUGCAACUGUUCUAAUUAGAAGUGAUCAGGUUUGAAUCAGGACGCUGCCAUUUGAAUGAUAGUACCGACUGAUUUGGAGACAGUAAUACCAUCUGAUGCUGUGCGUGAGGAACAUGCCCAGCUGGAGAAGCUUUGAAGCAGUCUGAGUAGGAGAGUGAAGCUCUGUGAUAUAAUUAUUCUGGAAAAU
rnacentral:lncRNA from 1 species